AUAAAAUCCCAUUGUAAUUUUUUUCCAAAACAAGGGAAAAACACACCCUAAUUUAGGAAUAUGUCUUACCGUUUUCAUUUCGAUAAGACAUUUCCCAAACUUUUUCUCCCGAAGCCCCAUCCCCCUUUCCGUUUCUCAUUUCCCCUCCCUUUUGCCACACCCUAGACCUUAGGUUCGCAGUCUCUGGGUUUAACUUCUCUUAGCAUCAAGAUAUGUUUUUUUUUCUUUUUAUCAGUUUAAAAUGCUUCAAUUUCUUUUCAGUCCAUGCAUGUUUGGGACCAAAUUAUGUUCUUUAAAUUCAUUUUUUUCUUGCUUUCAUUUAGGGCAAUAGUCUGACUACUGAAUCAGUCAUUAUUACUCCCCUCUGUUUUUCAAGGGAAAUUAACACAGUUUAAAGAAGAGCAUAGAAACAUUGAUUUUUGCUUUGUUGUUUAAAGGGUUUGUUGUAUAUCUUUUAGUUCUAAAGUUAAGUGAAAGAAGAGAAAAUUUUUUUGGGGGGAAGGAUUGAAGAAGAGGGGAAAUGGGGUUUGUUUUUUUCUAUAGUAAAUGUGGUUCUAUUCUUUUCCGUGGUUUUUGGCUUUGAAUUGCUUCAUUGAGUUUGGAUCAAAUGCUAAACUGUUGCCUGAAUUUGAAGCAUAGACAGUGUCAUCGAUAAACAAAUUAAAUUUGUGGGUGAACAACUUGGUAAGAUUGUUAAUGCAUUAGAACAAUUUACUGCGGAUAAGACACCACAUCUUUACAAAGAAAUGAUGUCGAUGGAGGUGGAAGGAUUUGAUGACGACUUCUUUUGUAGUGUCUUUGAUUAUCUUGUGGGUCGUGAAUCCGAGGCCAAAGCUUUCUUAGCCAAAAGUACGAAGCAUAGAAAAAUUUGGCUUCAAAAAUUUCUCAAGGUUGAAGAUAUUGACGCUUUAAUGUGGUGUAAUACUAGUUAUACACUUGGACAAUAUUGUAGUUAUCAUGUGGUGUACUAUUGAUUAUGUAAUUGGAUAAUAUUAUUAAUUUGUAAUAUUAAUUGUGGUUUGGAAGCUAAUAUAUUAUUAUUCAAUUUUUUAUUUUUAUAACACAAUUAGGAAUCA